AGAGUUUGAUCCUGGCUCAGGAUGAACGCUGGCGGCGUGCCUAAUACAUGCAAGUCGAGCGAACGGACGAGAAGCUUGCUUCUCUGAUGUUAGCGGCGGACGGGUGAGUAACACGUGGAUAACCUACCUAUAAGACUGGGAUAACUUCGGGAAACCGGAGCUAAUACCGGAUAAUAUUUUGAACCGCAUGGUUCAAAAGUAAAAGACGGUCUUGCUGUCACUUAUAGAUGGAUCCGCGCUGCAUUAGCUAGUUGGUAAGGUAACGGCUUACCAAGGCAACGAUGCAUAGCCGACCUGAGAGGGUGAUCGGCCACACUGGAACUGAGACACGGUCCAGACUCCUACGGGAGGCAGCAGUAGGGAAUCUUCCGCAAUGGGCGAAAGCCUGACGGAGCAACGCCGCGUGAGUGAUGAAGGUCUUCGGAUCGUAAAACUCUGUUAUUAGGGAAGAACAUAUGUGUAAGUAACUGUGCACAUCUUGACGGUACCUAAUCAGAAAGCCACGGCUAACUACGUGCCAGCAGCCGCGGUAAUACGUAGGUGGCAAGCGUUAUCCGGAAUUAUUGGGCGUAAAGCGCGCGUAGGCGGUUUUUUAAGUCUGAUGUGAAAGCCCACGGCUCAACCGUGGAGGGUCAUUGGAAACUGGAAAACUUGAGUGCAGAAGAGGAAAGUGGAAUUCCAUGUGUAGCGGUGAAAUGCGCAGAGAUAUGGAGGAACACCAGUGGCGAAGGCGACUUUCUGGUCUGUAACUGACGCUGAUGUGCGAAAGCGUGGGGAUCAAACAGGAUUAGAUACCCUGGUAGUCCACGCCGUAAACGAUGAGUGCUAAGUGUUAGGGGGGUUUCCGCCCCUUAGUGCUGCAGCUAACGCAUUAAGCACUCCGCCUGGGGAGUACGACCGCAAGGUUGAAACUCAAAGGAAUUGACGGGGACCCGCACAAGCGGUGGAGCAUGUGGUUUAAUUCGAAGCAACGCGAAGAACCUUACCAAAUCUUGACAUCCUUUGACAACUCUAGAGAUAGAGCUUUCCCCUUCGGGGGACAAAGUGACAGGUGGUGCAUGGUUGUCGUCAGCUCGUGUCGUGAGAUGUUGGGUUAAGUCCCGCAACGAGCGCAACCCUUAAGCUUAGUUGCCAUCAUUAAGUUGGGCACUCUAAGUUGACUGCCGGUGACAAACCGGAGGAAGGUGGGGAUGACGUCAAAUCAUCAUGCCCCUUAUGAUUUGGGCUACACACGUGCUACAAUGGACAAUACAAAGGGCAGCGAAACCGCGAGGUCAAGCAAAUCCCAUAAAGUUGUUCUCAGUUCGGAUUGUAGUCUGCAACUCGACUACAUGAAGCUGGAAUCGCUAGUAAUCGUAGAUCAGCAUGCUACGGUGAAUACGUUCCCGGGUCUUGUACACACCGCCCGUCACACCACGAGAGUUUGUAACACCCGAAGCCGGUGGAGUAACCUUUUAGGAGCUAGCCGUCGAAGGUGGGACAAAUGAUUGGGGUGAAGUCGUAACAAGGUAGCCGUAUCGGAAGGUGCGGCUGGAUCACCU
rnacentral:rRNA from 1 species